GUGUCAUUUACCAAAAAAGGCAAGGAAUACAGUACAGGAUCAGUAUAGUUCUAAAUUAUGCAAAAGCUGAGACCUUCCAGAAGUUCCCAACUGGCUGAAAGAUUGUACCUAAGAAAUGAUGACAGGGAGGCAAGGCCAAUUUAUCAUCUCCUGCAGUUGCCUGCCAUGUUGAAGAAUCUCCUUGGUGAAGAUGUGUACACAUGUAGGCAAAAAAACAUCAACAAGGCUGAAGUGGUUCCAGUCAUCUGCGGUAUUUGCCUCAGCUUCCUUUGGCAAACCUAGGCAGCACCAACAGUGCGCUACAAUGCUCAAAAGACUAGAUUUGUAGAGAAAAGUGCACAGAUUACCUUGAGAUGGUAUACAUGGUUUAAAACAGUCGUUUGAAACAGUUCUAAGCUUUUUGAAAAAGGGAAUACUAGAUUUGUUAGUUGAACUUGCACAACUUCUUUUCACACAUAAAACCCCAUAUUUUUAGAACUACUUUUCAGGGUGUAUUUUUGUCUCUACUUUUUUUUCUUAAAGGCAUAUCUGAGUAAAUAAAACUUACAAAGCAUAAGACAAAUUGUUCACUCAAGUGCAGACAUUUCAAAAUACCCAUUCUAUGUACUGUUGGUGAUUGCACUAACUUAUCACAAUUAUCCCUUCAAUUAAGCUCCUAACUAGGACUCGUAAAUUGAGAAAACUGGAAGAAUUCUACUGCUGUUAUUUUGCCCUAAGUUUUAUACGCAAGUUUCCUCAGAUUUUAGGAACUUCUCAUUCAAAAUAAGCAGGUAUCUGUUAUGUCCAUCAUGUUCUUGGAUAUAAACUUAGAAAGUUGAUAACAAAGUACAUGUAGACUUCGAGGCUUACUGCCAAAUUAUGCACCAAAAAGUUGAAAAUUAGGCCACCUGAGAUUUCAGUCUUUGCAGAAUCUCAAAUGUUCUACAAGCACAGUUGAUUUUUUUUGACAGAAACACAAUUUACACGUAAAAAUGGAUAUUUUGAAGAGGUUCAUUUAUAAAAAGGCUUGCAAAUAUAUUUUGGAAAUACAGCAUACUGAAGUACAUGCAAGGUCUGAA